rnacentral:rRNA from 1 species
GAUGAACGCUGGCGGCGUGCCUAAUACAUGCAAGUCGAGCGAACGGACGAGAAGCUUGCUUCUCUGAUGUUAGCGGCGGACGGGUGAGUAACACGUGGAUAACCUACCUAUAAGACUGGGAUAACUUCGGGAAACCGGAGCUAAUACCGGAUAAUAUUUUGAACCGCAUGGUUCAAAAGUGAAAGUCGGUCUUUCUGUCACUUAUAGAUGGAUCCGCGCUGCAUUAGCUAGUUGGUAAGGUAACGGCUUAACAAGGCAACGAUGCAUAGCCGACCUGAGAGGGUGAACGGACACACGGGAACUGAGACGCGGACCAGACUCCUACGGGAGGCCGCAGUAGGGAAUCUUCCGCGAUGGGCCAGAGCCUGACAGAGCAAAGCCGCGUGAGUGAUGAUGGUCUUCGGAUCGUAGAACUCUGUUAUUAGGGGAGAACAAAUGUGUAUGUAACUGAGAAGAUCAUGACAGUACCUAGUCAGGAAGCCACGGCUAACUACGUG